rnacentral:rRNA from 1 species
UACGUAGGGUGCAAGCGUUGUCCGGAAUUAUUGGGCGUAAAGGGCGCGUAGGCGGUGCGGUAAGUCACCUGUGAAACCUCUGGGCUUAACUCAGAGCCUGCAGGCGAAAACUGCCGUGCUUGAGUGUGGGAGAGGUGCGUGGAAUUCCUGGUGUAGCGGUGAAAUGCGCAGAUAUCAGGAAGAACACCCGUGGCGAAAGCGGCUCUCUGGAACGGUACUGACGCUGAGACGCGAAAGCGUGGGGAGCGAACAGG